CUCCCUGUAGAGUUUUACCCCCUGCUCCUCUGGCCGCCCUCCGGAUGGAUCUUUGUGCUGCCAGGCAGGAAUGGGCUGCUUGGGGACCCAGUGAGCUCCGAGGGCCUUUCUGCUGCUUCCUGUACCCCUGUAUUUCGCUCGGCUCUCUGACUUGACUCAGCUCCAGGAGGAAUCUGCAUAGAUUAGACGAAAAAGUUAAAAGGAGUAUGAAUGAAAAAACUACGUGUACAAGAUGUCCAAGAUGAACAAAACUAUACAAUAAAGUUCAUUUCAGUAUACAACAUGUAUUAUAUUCAACAAGGCUCAAAUUUUUUGGUAAAAGGAAACAGAGACCUGUUUUUCUAGCAGGAAGAUAUUUUUCUUGGGAUGUUUUGUUUAUGCUGGCUUGAAUAACACUAUGAAAUAUUCUUUCAUUAAUAUUACAUGCUUAUGGAACUUUACCUAUUGAUUAAAGGCAUCUACUCCUGGAGAAAGAGCCCAAUGAGAAGUAAUCUCUGAAGCCCAGAUUUCCUAAGGAUGAAGCUUCAGGAGAGGUCUUAUCAAU
rnacentral:lncRNA from 1 species